AGAGAAAAAUAGAGACAGAGAUUUCAAAAUGCUAGGAUACUGUCUUUGAAGAUAGGAGGGACUACAAGCCAAGAAGAUGCUGAAAACAUUUAAAAACUGGAAAAGCGAAGGUAGUGGAUUCUCCCCAAGAACCUGCAGAAGUUACACAGCCCUGUGGAUCCAUUAGAUUUCUCACCUCCAGAACAAAACAUGUUUCUAUGUGUUUCUAUGCUAGACAUUGGGAAUAACAAAGAGCCUUUGGAGAGACUUGAAUCUGUCCCCAAGAGUUCAUUCUAUGAAGAUAAAGGAACAUAUAAACUGACAGCCCUGUACAAUUCGAUAAAUGCAGCUACUGGCAAUAGUUACUCAUUUUGAGUAACAAGAAAAGAGAAAAUUGUGGAGCAGAAACUCCUUUGUUUUCAAACUGGGAAAGAAAUGUGUAGGUGAAGUUCUGAGAGAUGCUGCAUCUUGGGAUUAUAUUAACUCAAGUGAUACAAGAUAAAGCCAAAUGCAUUCUAAAUGCAAGAGAAAUUGUCGCAAAAUUUAUCAUAUUUGAUGUACUUAAAAAUGGAUCCUCUGCCUUAGAUUCACAAGGAAAAAUAGAAAUACAAAGUCAUCUAGUAUAUUAAGUUUGAAAUCUGGCCUCAAACCUGCAUUCACUCAGCCUACCAUGUAUUUCCAUGACAAGAACGUCUCCCUCGGAAAAGUUUCCUUAAACCAGGCUGCGAUUACAUCUACUACAGACUAAUAGCAUUUUUAGUUUUGACUAGGUAUUUCCAGUUGAAGAGGCAAUAUGUUUCAAGCCAAUAAUGGACAUGGGAUUACAUCGGCACAUAGCUUCUUAAUAUCAAGAGGAAACUCAGACGACUAGUUGCAGUGACCACUCUCCUCAGAAUUUUCAAAGUAGUUCCAAUUUCAAAAGCUAUGUCCCAUUGUCACUUUAUAUGUUUAAUCAAGCAUAUUUCUCAUGAUCAUUGGUCUUUCUUAAAUCAGACGAAUGCAAGUAUAUCCUCUUAAAGAGUAUUAAUUAAAGAACUCAAGUAGGUGCCAUUUAGAAGAUCUAUUCAAACUUUUAAGUCUCUUGUUCAAUAAAAAAUUCACCCACCAAGAAAAGCCAUAUCCCACUGAACCCUUUCAAAUAUAUUACAUAAAGCAGGGCAGGCAUGUAGUUUUUCACAUAGUAGGUACACACAAAUAGCAAUUUUAAGUAUUAUCAUUACCAUUUCAAGGGAUCCUCUGCUUUUUCAGGAAAUAUAUAAUGAUAUACAUUGUAAAAUAUUAAGAACACAGAGCAUGUAAAAUUUUAAUGUGCACACAAAAGUCUUUUACAACCUCCUCACUCACUAAGUGGUCCCACAUUAAAGUAAAAUAAAUCUUCACCCAAAGAGAAAGCACUUAAAAUGUUCAGCUUUUUCAGAUUUUAGUUCCCCAAAGAAUUCAUUUUUCUUAAUAGUGUCAGAUAUAAUAAAACCAUCCGUUUCAAGGAAAAAAUAAUUAAAGCACUUAGCAUGAUGCUUUACUUUCAGUAUUUAAAAAUCAGCCAUUUCUUAUGAUCAGUAAUUUGGGAUUCCAUUAGAUUUUAUGAUACUAAAUAUAGAUAUACACAAUAGAUACUAAUGACUCUGGACUCUCAGACACUUGUUACUUAAGUUAUAAACCAGGAAAUCUGCCAAGAACUUAUGUUCUUAAAAAUUAUGCAGAGAAUGCAAAAUGAUGAUGAAAUAGGACACAAAGGAAGAACACAGAUCCUACAAAAUGAUGUUUUCCAUGUGUUUCAUAUUCUUUGAAAGCCAGAGCCAUGUUUAUACAGAUAAUCCUAGAUGAUUAGUUGUUUUUAUCCAUUCAUUUCAGUAUGUACAUUUAAUAUAUACAUAUAAAUAUAUAGAGAGUGCAUACUAGACAGUAUCCUUUGUUCCAAGAAUUAAAAAAAAGAAAAAAAGUUCCAGUCCUUGACCUUAAAAUGCUUACAAACUAGUUGAGAACAAUAUAAAAUAAAAUAAUUAUAGCUCUAAGUGCUAAGGCAAAAAGGGACAGGUAGUGAGCACUGGGAAGAAGUGUUUGCUUGUGAAGGCGAUCUGCAAAGAUUUCAGAGUGUAAAGAUGAACAUGUGGGAUAAGGCGAUAAUUCAGUACCGUAAGAGAAAGAUCUUACAGAGGCAACUCCGGUCUCUGCUAGUGGGGAGGGUAUUUUAAAUGUAUGCUUCUCAAUAUGUUUUCCUUCAAGAACCAGACUGGAAGCCCAUAAAAUACUUGCAUAAAUUUCCAGAUUUUACCUGGAACUGUUGGAUCAGAAUCCUUAAGGAUGAGGCCAAAACACAUGCAUAAUCUAUAGCUGGGCAGAACUUGUAUGUUGUAUCAGAUGCACAGAGGUGCAGUGACAAAUCAUUUAGAGCUAACAAUGGUUUCUUAUGACCUCUUCCUUAGAAUCUACUACCUAUAAUAUCUUCUGUUACAAGUAAAAAUU